rnacentral:rRNA from 1 species
ACGGCGGCCGUAACUAUAACGGUCCUAAGGUAGCGAAAUUCCUUGUCGGUUAAAUACCGACCUGCAUGAAUGGCGUAACGAGAUGGGAGCUGUCUCAAAGAGGGAUCCAGUGAAAUUGUAGUGGAGGUGAAAAUUCCUCCUACCCGCGGCAAGACGGAAAGACCCCGUGGACCUUUACUACAGCUUGACACUGCUACUUGGAUAAGAAUGUGCAGGAUAGGUGGGAGGCUUUGAGUAUAUGACGCCAGUUGUAUAUGAGCCAUUGUUGAGAUACCACUCUUUCUUAUUUGGGUAGCUAACCAGCUUGAGUUAUCCUCAAGUGGGACAAUGUCUGGUGGGUAGUUUGACUGGGGCGGUCGCCUCCCAAAUAAUAACGGAGGCUUACAAAGGUUGGCUCAGAACGGUUGGAAAUCGUUCGUAGAGUAUAAAGGUAUAAGCCAGCUUAACUGCAAGACAUACAAGUCAAGCAGAGACGAAAGUCGGUCUUAGUGAUCCGGUGGUUCUGUGUGGAAGGGCCAUCGCUCAAAGGAUAAAAGGUACCCCGGGGAUAACAGGCUGA